CCUACGGGUGGCAGCAGUGAGGAAUAUUGGUCAAUGGACGCAAGUCUGAACCAGCCAAGUAGCGUGCAGGAUGACGGCCCUCCGGGUUGUAAACUGCUUUUAGUUGGGAAUAAAAGGGGGCUCGUGAGCCCCGUAUUGUAUGUACCAUCAGAAAAAGGACCGGCUAAUUCCGUGCCAGCAGCCGCGGUAAUACGGAAGGUACGGGCGUUAUCCGGAUUUAUUGGGUUAAGAGGGAGCGUAGGCCGGCUUUUAAGUAAGCUGUGAAAGUCCGCGGCUCAACCCCGUCGUGCCGUUGAAACUGAUGUAGUUGAGUGGGCGAGAAGUAUGCGGAAUGCGUGGUGUAGCGGUGGAAUGCAUA
rnacentral:rRNA from 1 species